rnacentral:rRNA from 1 species
CUGGCUCAGAUUGAACGCUGGCGGCGUGCUUAACACAUGCAAGUCGCGCGUGAAAGGACUUCGGUCCGAGUAAAGCGGCGCACGGGUGAGUAACGCGUGGAUGAUCUACCCAUGAGUUAGGAAUAACGGCUGGAAACGGUCGCUAAUACCAAAUACGCUCCGAUUUCAACUUCGGGGGAAAGGUGGCCUCUGCUUGCAAGCUACUGCUCAUGGAUGAGUCCGCGUCCCAUUAGCUAGUUGGUGGGGUAACGGCCCACCAAGGCGACGAUGGGUAGCCGGUCUGAGAGGAUGACCGGCCACACUGGGACUGGAACACGGCCCAGACUCCUACGGGAGGCAGCAGUGGGGAAUAUUGCGCAAUGGGCGAAAGCCUGACGCAGCGACGCCGCGUGAGGGAUGAAGGUCCUCGGAUCGUAAGCCUCUGUCAGGAGGGAAGAACCGCCACGGUGCUAAUCAGCCGUGGUCUGACGGUACCUCCAAAGGAAGCACCGGCUAACUCCGUGCCAGCCGCCGC